rnacentral:rRNA from 1 species
CUGGAGGUAUCAGAAGUGCGAAUGCUGACAUAAGUAACGAUAAAGCGGGUGAAAAGCCCGCUCGCCGGAAGACCAAGGGUUCCUGUCCAACGUUAAUCGGGGCAGGGUGAGUCGACCCCUAAGGCGAGGCCGAAAGGCGUAGUCGAUGGGAAACAGGUUAAUAUUCCUGUACUUGGUGUUACUGCGAAGGGGGGACGGAGAAGGCUAUGUUGGCCGGGCGACGGUUGUCCCGGUUUAAGCGUGUAGGCUGGUUUUCCAGGCAAAUCCGGAAAAUCAAGGCUGAGGCGUGAUGACGAGGCACUAC